GAAAAAGAAGAUAAUAGAUGAUAAUUAAAGGGAAAUAUUCUCCCUAGUUUCACGCCACUUUGGUUUUUGGCCAUUCUGUUCACAAAAUUUCUCUUUUCUUUGUUUUUUUCUUUUCAUUCUAUUCACGUGGGUUUGGAAAAGAGGGGUAGCAAAUCGUUCUUUUGGGUUCUUGAUUUUUAAUGCCAAAGCCUUAUUAUUUCGCCAUUCAAGAUCGGUGACGAACGUGAGAAUCGGAAAUCCCCUCGUGCGAUUUUGUUGUUUUAGGGGAUGCUGUGAAUGUGGGUACUAUUUUCUUUGUGAGUGCGGUGGUAUCGAAAUCGAAUCAGGUGUGUAACGAGAAACCCGAAAAAUAGCGAAUGGUGAAAGCCGAAAUUGGGCACUGUCGAUGCCACACGGCCGUGUGCGACACACGACCCUGUGACUGAUCAUGUGCUAAACCGUGUGUGACAUACGGUCUGGGCUAUUUUGGGCUGUGUGGGUCCUAAAUUUAAGAUUUUUUCCUAGUGCCGCACACGUUAUUCUGAUCAACCGCGGGGUCAGUAUGUGGUUAAAUAUACUAUAGAACAGGAAAUUUGGCCAUCUGCUCGUAUGAAUUCUGAUAUCUACAUGUGUAUCUGAGCUGUCAUAUGAUAAUUCAAACUGAGAGUAAUGUUAAAUACGUACAUGAUUUGUAUAGUAACACCCCAAACCUGGCCCAAACAUUA